CUCGCGGUGCGUCCUGGAUUGUGGGUAGGAUUAUCUAUUGCUCUCUUCUCUCUCGAACCAGCGCUAGCCGCUUUUCUCUCUCAUCGGUAAGCCAUAAUCUAUUUAUCCACCAAUCUCUCACCAAUAAUCACAAUAUCGAAAUCGAAAUCGAGAAUUUUAUUUCUCUACUGAUUCAAUUUCUAGGGUUUAUUGUUGUUUCUCCUCUUUGUUUGACUAUAAUUUCUAGGGUUUCAGUCGUCCUAUCUGUUUCCUCGUUAAUUGUUCGACGAAAUUUGUAGCUCUAUACGUCAAUAGUGGAGGAUCUGAAAUCUGUUGCGUUACUGCUUUGGAUUACUUUGGUUUUAGCUCUUAGAUCCGAGGUUGGCCUCGAAUCGA
rnacentral:misc_RNA from 1 species